rnacentral:rRNA from 1 species
CACGUGAGCAACCUACCGAACUGUGGGGGAUAGCCGGCCUAACGGCCGAGUAAUACCGCAUACGCUCUCAGUGAGGCAUUUCAUUGAGAGGAAACCUACGGGACAGAUCGAGGGGCUCGCGGCCUAUCAGCUAGUUGGCGAGGUAACGGCUCACCAAGGCAACGACGGGUAGCUGGUCUGAGAGGACGAUCAGCCGGAUUGGGACUGAGAUACGGCCCAG